rnacentral:rRNA from 1 species
CUUCGGAAUCUUGAGAGCGGCGUACGGGUGCGGAACACGUGUGCAACCUGCCUUUAUCAGGGGGAUAGCCUUUCGAAAGGAAGAUUAAUACCCCAUAAUAUAAGAGACGGCAUCGUUUUUUAUUGAAAACUCCGGUGGAUAGAGAUGGGCACGCGCAAGAUUAGAUAGUUGGUAGGGUAACGGCCUACCAAGUCAGUGAUCUUUAGGGGGCCUGAGAGGGUGAUCCCCCACACUGGUACUGAGACACGGACCAGACUCCUACGGGAGGCAGCAGUGAGGAAUAUUGGACAAUGGGUGAGAGCCUGAUCCAGCCAUCCCGCGUGAAGGACGACGGCCCUAUGGGUUGUAAACUUCUUUUGUAUAGGGAUAAACCUUUCCACGUGUGGAAAGCUGAAGGUACUAUACGAAUAAGCACCGGCUAACUCCGUGCCAGCAGCCGCGGUAAUACGGAGGGUGCAAGCGUUAUCCGGAUUUAUUGGGUUUAAAGGGUCCGUAGGCGGAUCUGUAAGUCAGUGGUGAAAUCUCAUAGCUUAACUAUGAAACUGCCAUUGAUACUGCAGGUCUUGAGUAAAGUAGAAGUGGCUGGAAUAAGUAGUGUAGCGGUGAAAUGCAUAGAUAUUACUUAGAACACCAAUUGCGAAGGCAGGUCACUAUGUUUUAACUGACGCUGAUGGACGAAAGCGUGGGGAGCGAACAGGAUUAGAUACCCUGGUAGUCCACGCCGUAAACGAUGCUAACUCGUUUUUGGGCUUUCGGGUUCAGAGACUAAGCGAAAGUGAUAAGUUAGCCACCUGGGGAGUACGUUCGCAAGAAUGAAACUCAAAGGAAUUGACGGGGGCCCGCACAAGCGGUGGAUUAUGUGGUUUAAUUCGAUGAUACGCGAGGAACCUUACCAAGGCUUAAAUGGGAAUUGACAGGUUUAGAAAUAGACUUUUCUUCGGACAAUUUUCAAGGUGCUGCAUGGUUGUCGUCAGCUCGUGCCGUGAGGUGUUAGGUUAAGUCCUGCAACGAGCGCAACCCCUGUCACUAGUUGCCAUCAUUAAGUUGGGGACUCUAGUGAGACUGCCUACGCAAGUAGAGAGGAAGGUGGGGAUGACGUCAAAUCAUCACGGCCCUUACGCCUUGGGCCACACACGUAAUACAAUGGCCGGUACAGAGGGCAGCUACCAAGUGAUUGGAUGCGAAUCUCGAAAGCCGGUCUCAGUUCGGAUUGGAGUCUGCAACUCGACUCUAUGAAGCUGGAAUCGCUAGUAAUCGCGCAUCAGCCAUGGCGCGGUGAAUACGUUCCCGGGCCUUGUACACACCGCCCGUCAAGCCAUGGAAGUUUGGGGUACCUGAAGUCGGUGACCGUA